rnacentral:rRNA from 1 species
UACAGAGGGUGCAAGCGUUAAUCGGAAUUACUGGGCGUAAAGGGUGCGUAGGUGGUUAAUUAAGUCAGAUGUGAAAUCCCCGGGCUUAACCUGGGAAUUGCAUUUGAAACUGGUUGACUAGAGUACGGUAGAGGGAAGUGGAAUUUCCGGUGUAGCGGUGGAAAUGCGUAGAUAUCGGAAGGAACAUCAGUGGCGAAGGCGACUUCCUGGACCGUUACUGACACUGAGGCACGAAAGCGUGGGGAGCGAACAGG